UUCAAACGGGAGGUACCCCUAUUUUUAUUAUUUCAAUGUCAAUUACGUGCUCUUAUGUGCUCUUAUGUGUUCCUAUGUGUUUAUAUUUUUAUAUGCUUUAUUUAUUUGAAUUAAAUAUUCAUUCAAAUUUUCUUAUAUAUGUUUUAAUUAAUUUUUACAAUGAUUCAAGAGGCAUUUAAAUACCUCAAAAAUGUAAUAGAUAGGAUAAUUAGAUUUGUUUUAUUAUAUUUUUCCCUUCUAGAUUGUAGUUAGGCGCUCCCCGAUGUAAUAGAUAGGUUGCGUGUUUAUGUGGCUUAUGUGUUAUGUGUUUUAUCCAUUUUUCUUAGGAUUUUGGCAUCUAGAUAUUAUGUUUACGUGUUAUGUGCUACGUGCUCUUAUGUGUUUAUUUGUUUUAAUUUAUGUUUUAUUUGUUUCACUAUGAAUUGUUGAUGCAUGACGUCACCACACUAGUCCAACGUUAGUUGUGGUUUCUCCCUCCGCUUACUUGCUAGUCCAACGCUAGUAAGGAUUUUUAGAAAUGGGCUAGUCCAACGCUAGACCCUUUAGGUUAUCUUGCGCUAGAUUCAUCUUUGUGUGCUAUUCACUACAUUUUCAUGUAUAUUUUUAUUUUUAGGAUCUUUUCUCAUUUGCAUGAUAUUCCCUAUUAUAUUAUCCCCUACCCGCUAUAGGUGCUAAUCAUGUCAUUUAGAAUUGCAUCCCAUUUAAGCUAGUUCAUUUGCUUGUUCAUGUUAGGAUAAUUAUUUUUCAAACAUGGGAAAUGGGUG
rnacentral:lncRNA from 1 species